rnacentral:rRNA from 1 species
AGUCAAGUAAUUAAGUGCAUGUGGUGGAUGCCUUGGCAGUCAGAGGCGAUGAAAGACGUGAUAGCCUGCGAAAAGCUCCGGGGAGGCGGCAAAUAUCCUUUGAUCCGGAGAUGUCUGAAUGGGGGAACCCACCUACUUUAAGGUAGGUAUUGCAACAUGAAUACAUAGUGUUGCAAGGCGAACGAGGGGAAGUGAAACAUCUCAGUACCCUUAGGAAAAGAAAUCAAUUGAGAUUCCCUCAGUAGCGGCGAGCGAACGGGGAUCAGCCCAUUAAGUUAUGUGUGUUUUAGUGGAACGCUCUGGGAAGUGCGAACGUAGAGGGUGAUAUUCCCGUACACGAAAGGGCACACAUAAUGAUGACGAGUAGGGCGAGGCACGUGAAACCUUGUCUGAAUAUGGGGGGACCAUCCUCCAAGGCUAAAUACUCCUGACUGACCGAUAGUGAACCAGUACCGUGAGGGAAAGGCGAAAAGAACCCCUGUGAGGGGAGUGAAAUAGAUCCUGAAACCGCAUGCAUACAAGCAGUGGGAGCACCUUCGUGGUGUGACUGCGUACCUUUUGUAUAAUGGGUCAGCGACUUAUAUUCAGUAGCAAGGUUAACCGUAUAGGGGAGCCGUAGAGAAAUCGAGUCUUAAUAGGGCGUUUAGUUGCUGGGUAUAGACCCGAAACCAGGCGAUCUAUCCAUGAGCAGGUUGAAGGUUGGGUAACACUAACUGGAGGACCGAACCCACUGUCGUUGAAAAGCCAGGGGAUGACUUGUGGAUAGGGGUGAAAGGCUAAUCAAGCCUGGUGAUAGCUGGUUCUCCCCGAAAGCUAUUUAGGUAGCGCCUCGGACGAAUACCAUAGGGGGUAGAGCACUGUUUCGGCUAGGGGGUCAUCCCGACUUACCAAACCGAUGCAAACUCCGAAUACCUAUGAGUACUAUCCGGGAGACAGACUGCGGGUGCUAACGUCCGUAGUCAAGAGGAAAACAAUCCAGACCGCCAGCUAAGGCCCCAAAAUCAUAGUUAAGUGGGAAACGAUGUGGGAAGGCAUAGACAGCUAGG